UUUGCUACAAGUCUUACAUGAAAGCAGCUAAGGGAGGUCUGGUCCUUUUUCAUUCUGAACCAAAUUUAACAGGGAGACCAGCUCUUUUCUUUGUUGUUUCCGACAUUCCUUCUCUUCCCAUCCAAUUUCUGCUACUGAUUAUCAAGACAAUCACAAGAAAAGAAAAACAACUUCAGACUCCCCUUGGCUUUUGUUGAUCCGUUCUUGGAAAUUUAGCUGCGAUUGAGGUUUUAGGAAGGCUACAAGCAAGUUUGCUAGGCCCAAAGGGGCAUCCCACAAAUGUGGCUAUCCACAGAAGACCGUCCGGGACGAUGGCUGAUAUCCUGACUAUCCUAACAUUAGAGAUUGGUUCUCACAAGUAGAUUCCUCCGAAGACUAUGAAGCUUAAAGGUGUCGCUUCAGCGAGAAAUAGUAAAGCAAAGAAUACCGUUAUGGUAAAACAUCUGAAAUAAUGUUAUGAGCACUUGGCGCAAACGGCACAGACCAUAUCUGGUGCCAUUGGGAACCAGAAUCAGUUGCGACCUAGUAGUGCUAUGGACUUAAAGGAAUUCAGGAAAUUGAUUGGUGAUCGAGUGUUUAAUGGUACGGAAGAACCCAUAGAAGCUGAAAGGUGGUUAAUGGGUAUGAGAAAGGAGUUUGAUGCGCAUUUAGUGGCCGAGAAAGAUAAAGUACGCUUUACUACGUAUAUGUUUCAAGGUGAUGCAGAUGAUUGGUUGAAUUCAGAGAAGCGAAUGAGACGUGGUGGAUAUGUCAUGAGAACAGUUUGAAAAGUUGUUCCUUAACAAGUAUUUUCCACCUACAACAAGAUCCUUGAAUUGUGCCGAGUUUGUAGUGUGAAGCAAGGAGAUAUGACAGUCACACAACUAGACAAGAAAUUUAGUGAGCUAGAUCGUUACAGGGAACAUUUAGUUGAAACGCCAGAGUUGAAGGCUCAAAAACUUGAGGGUGAUUUGAAGGCUGUGAUUCGUGAUAGAGUUGUUGCAAUUCGAAUCCAUACAUAUAAUCAGGUUCCUGAUGUUGCAUUAGCGGUUGAAGCUAGCUUGAUGCAAAGUCAGGAAGAGAGAGAAGAGUGAGACCGAAAGAAGAAGACUAAGGAGCGAGAUAGAAAUUCAUCACCACAACGGAUUCGCCCACGAAAUGACAAUGCAACCAGGAGAGGCUAGAGGACUGAAUGUUAUCAUUGCAUAGAAGAUGGUCAUUAUGCUAGAGAUUGUGCUCUAUCGGCAGAUCAGAAGCCGCAAAUUGUGAACCAAAUUCACAAUCAAAAUGCUCAAAGGCAGAACUUCAAGGGAAAACAGCAACAUUAUCCUCGAGGAAAUGCUAAACCUUUCCAGCCUAAACAACGUCAACCCAAUACACAAGUAAUUGUUCAAGAGAAGUAGAACCACUUCGUCGAGACUAAAGAGGAACCGAAGGACCCUGUGAUCGAAAGUAAUAUUCAUUGCUCUUAGUCUGGUUUUGAAUUUCAGGAGAAAUUCUUUUAUUUAGGGGUUUUGGUCCUUUUUCAUUCUGAACCAAAUUUAACAGGGAGACCAUCUCUUUUCCUUGUUGUUUCCUGACAUUCCUUCUUUUCCCAUCCAAUUUCUGCUAUUGAUUAUCAAGACAAUCACAAGAAAAGAAACACAACUUCAGACUCCCAUUGGCUUUUGUUGAUCCGUUCUUGGAAUUCUAGCUGCGCUUGAGGUAUGGGAUUUUCUUUUUUUCACUGUUAUAUAUAAUUGGUUUUGUUUUGAUUUUAUUUCGGUUAAACUAGUUAUUGGUUUGUUCAAGACAUUGAAAUACUAGUUGCAUGCGUACAGUUCCCCCACUUGAUUUAUUAAUUUGAUUUGUUUUACCAAA